UACGGAGGGUGCAAGCGUUAAUCGGAAUUACUGGGCGUAAGGCGUGCGCAGGCGGUUUGUUAAGUCCGUUGUGAAAGCCCCGAGCUCAACUUGGGAAUUGCAGUGGAUACUGGCAGGCUGGAGUACGGUAGAGGAAGGUGGAAUUCCCGGUGUAGCAGUGAAAUGCGUAGAUAUCGGGAGGAACACCAGUGGCGAAGGCGGCCUUCUGGACCAGUACUGACGCUCAUGCACGAAAGCGUGGGGAGCAAACAGG
rnacentral:rRNA from 1 species